CACGUAGGGCGCAAGCGUUGUCCGGAAUUGUUGGGCGUAAAGAGCUCGUAGGCGGUCUGUUGCGUCCGCUGUGAAAACCCGGGGCUUAACCCCUGGCUUGCAGUGGAUACGGACAGACUAGAGGUAGGUAGGGGAGAAUGGAAUUCCCGGUGUAGCGGUGAAAUGCGCAGAUAUCGGGAGGAACACCGGUGGCGAAGGCGGUUCUCUGGGCCUUACCUGACGCUGAGGAGCGAAAGCGUGGGGAGCGAACAGG
rnacentral:rRNA from 1 species